UGGUGCAUGGCCGUCGCCAGCUCGUGCCGUGAGAUGUCCUGUUAAGUCAGGUAACGAGCGAGAUCCUCGCCACUAGUUGCUAUCAUUAUUCUCAGGAAUAGUGGGGCGAAUUAGUGGGACUGCCGUUGUUAAAACGGAGGAAGGAGGGGGCUACGGCAGGUCAGUAUGCCCCGAAACUCUGGGGCCACACGCGGGCUGCAAUGGUAGCGACAAUGAGCUCCAAACUCGAAAGAGAGUGGCAAUCUCUAAACGCUACCACAGUUAUGACUGAGGGCUGUAACUCGCCCUCACGAAUAUGGAAUCCCUAGUAACCGCGUGUCAUUACCGCGCGGUGAAUACGUCCCUGCUCCUUGCACACACCGCCCGUCGUUUCAUCGAAGUUUGCUUUAGCGAGGU
rnacentral:rRNA from 1 species